UCUUGCUGCUAUUGUGUGUGUGUCUGUGUGUGUGUGUGAGUGUGCUUUCAAGUGGUGCCGAAACCCGGGAACGUGUAUGUGUGCUUUCAAGUGGUGCCGAAACCCGGGAACGUGUAUGUGUGUUUUCACCUGCCCCAGGAUGUUAAAAGGAAACUACAGCUGGAAACACAAGUGGGAAAGAAAUCCUUGGGGAUAUGUCAAUACAGUGCCACAGAUGUCAUGGUGGCAUGGAUGAUGGAUGGCAUCAAGUAGCAGUCCUUGGGUCUGCCUUGGUUUGUACCUGCUCUGGAAGGAAGGAGUGGCUGCCCAGUGUUAUGAGCAAGGAGGGAGACAGACUUCAGUGACGAGGGCUGGUGCUACUGCACAGGUUGGUGCUUGACCUGCUGGAUGCUGGGAUUGCCAUCCCAUCUGCUAGCUGAACAGGGAACCACUUGUGCUCUGCUGGACUGCCAGACAGUGCCUGCUGGGGAUAUGUGAGAAUGCCACCUGAAGUUAACUGGUUAUUUCAUUCACAGGUAUGACAUACUUCAUUGAAAAGCAACUUCUUAAUGCAUAUGUAUGAGGCAUAUGAGAAGCAGUUGUCUGUAAAGCCUAUAGCUUGGAAACACAUGUAGAAGAUUUCUCUUGCUGUUAAAGGUCAUUCCUUUUUCUGGUAAAUGCAUACUUGUUUAAGUGGUGUGUUUCCUGGAAUACUCUGCUCCCAAGAUGAUUGUUGCUGAAAAGUACUCUUAUAGUUAAAUGUAUGCUGUAUGGAGUAUUUCAUACUUGUAAGUACUUUUUGUGAUAGGCUCUUGGCUAAAGAGAAGUGAAAGAAAGUGUGUCAUUCUCCUGUAUGAGGAAAGACUGAGUAACCUGAUUCUGUUCAGCCUGGGGAAAAGAAGACUGAGGGGGGAUCUGAUUAAUGUUUCUAAACAUCUAAAGGGAGGUGAGAGGCAAACGGAUGAAGCCAGGCUCAUCUUGAUGGUGCGUAGUGAUAGUGCAAGGAGUAAUGGCCUAAAACUUGAACGUAGGAAGUUCCAUGCUAACAUGUGAAAGGAUUUCUUUCCAGUAAGGGUGACAGAGCACUGGAACAAGCUGCCUGGAGAGGUUGUGGAGUCUCCUUCUAUGGAGAUAUUCAAGACUCGUCUGGACACCUACCUGUGCAACAUACUGUAGGUACCUGCUAUUUGUAGGGUACUUCGAUGAUCUGUUGAGGUCUCUUCCAACCCCCACAGUUCUGUGAUUCCGUGAUUCUAAAUUGUAGAUUGAACAUAAACUGGUUUCUUGCUGUCUUCUGCUGCUGACAUCAGGGAAUGCCAAUGGUCCUCUUUUUCACUGGAGAGAGACAUUAUGCUACAGUGGUCUCAGGCUCCUUGUGCACCAACAUCUGCAGAAAAACAAGUGUCUUAAGAAAGGUAGUUGCCCAUGCAGUGAGGCACUGACCUUGACCUCUUUACUAUUAGGUGUGAGAUGGUUGUUUCUGUCUUCAGCCAGACUUUUUUGCUUGUUUCCCAUGUAUUUCUGUGCAGCCAAAGUUUGCCCAACAAAUUUUAACAUAAAGCGAAUUGGAGAUUUGCUGUCAGCAAAUUAAUGCCUUCUUCCAAUGCUGAACUGAGCAGAAGACGUGUUGGAGAUCUGUCAGCAAUUACAGCGAAGCAGCAGUCAUUGGAUUGGAAGACUUAAAUUACAUGACAUUUUGAGGGAAACUUCUCUGACUACAGCAUCCGAAUAACUGCCAUCUAUUUAUGGGCAAGAUAUAAGCAGCAGCAGCAGCAGAAAAGGAAGAUUUGUCAGGUGAUAAGUGUUCAGAGGCUGCUGCAAGGGCAAUGCAUUUUUUUUUCUCAUUGUUCUAGACAUGAUGAAAAGCAGCAUGCUCCGACUGCAGCAAGCAAGAUCCAGGUUAGAUAGUGAAUAAAGCUUACUGUCAUUGCAGGAAAUGAAGUAGCAUAUAGGCUGUGAGGGAGCUGAGGCAUCCCCAUCACUGCGGAGCUUUAAGAGCAGAUGGAACAAACGUUCGUCUGAAGAGAUGUUGCUGUAGGUGACCCUGCCUUCAGGCUGGGGGAGCACAUGAGACUCUUCCAGUCUCAAUAUCCUCUUGCUAUCUGAGAUGAUUAUUUGCUACGGCCAAGUCUGCUGGCAUCAACACCACAGCAAUGUGUUUGUCAGACUGUUUAGAUCCCUGCAAGUGCACACAACAAGCCGAACAGCUGCAAGCUUAAUGCUUCAUUUUUAAUUGGGGCUAAUUUCCUAAAAUGAAAAUGAGAUUGGGGAAUUUAUAUAGGAAGCUUGUUUUGAAAGGUGUGAUUGUAACACUUGCUGCUUCUGAUAUUGCAAAGUCGGUCAUUCAGCACUACACUUUCUGUGGAACAUUUUUUUUUUUUUAAUAGAAGCUGUUCUUGAUUCAGGUAAGACCCAAGUGUUGUAAGACAGAGCUGUGAGAAUUACAGCAACUUCUUGUUGCCACCCUGUGCAUGGAGAGACAGCAAUGCUUCCCCAUGUGCUCCCUGUGGUUCCUGGCACUUGCUGGUUUUUUUGGGAAGAACCUCAGGUGAUGUGGUAAAUGUCCUUUGCAGAGGCCAUAUGAACCAAAGCUGUGUCCAAGGUGGUCAACUAGAAAGGCUAAGGCCCUUCAUGGUUUCCAGUCUGCUUUCAUCUGCACAGUAUCUGCUUCCUAGAGUGUGUGAAAUGCAUGGUUUGGGGCAUGGCGAUCUAGGCAGCUUCCUCGGUUCUGCCUGAUGUAGCUAGUAGCAGCAGGCCUUUGGUCACCAAAGUCUGUGCAUGACAGGCAUCUGGUGGCAAAUGACAAUGUGAUAUGUUGACCGCCAUGAAUGCUGGGACAGCAGAAUGGUGACAGAAAAGGUGGUUAUCUAGGUUAGUGCCAGUGUGGCCAAAACCAGUAGCUGUCAUCAUCAUUACACCCUAGGUGUCAGUAGAGGUACAUGUUAGAGAAAUAACUGGGCUCCAGAGUAUGACAGUGUUGUAUUUGAAAGUGAUGUUGGGCUGUGCCAACAGUGACAUGAACAGUGACAGGGACUGGUGGGAGAUUACUCCUCCUGCGACUAAGUGGAUCUCAUGGGGUGUAGGUACUCAGCCAAGGGCGCACAAAUGUCUGGGCACGCUGCUUGCAGGGGAGGUGGUGGCGAGGCCUGGGCUGGGAAGAAGCUGGGGAGGCAACAGGUGACAGUGUGCCUUGGAGGCCUCCAUGAUGAACAUGACCACCAUGAACUUGCUGAUGGUGUGCUCCCAACCUGAGGUGGGGCAAAUAGGGAACUGAUGUGACCGACUUUCAGAAGGGAACAAUUACCUCUGUCAGCACUGGGACUGAAGGCUGGAUUUUGUGGAGCUGCCACUACUGGACUGGCAGCUGCCCUGGGCCUAGGACCAUGAGAAUUCACAUACUCAGAUUAGUGGCCCAGUGGCCUAAUUUUAAUGAAGUACUUGUGCACCUCUUCUUGUGUAGCUGUGCAAACCAGGCUGUCCUGGAGAUGAGCUGCACCAGGUGAAAGUCACACAUGGAUUCACAGAUGUUGCCUAGGCAAGGAGUUUCCAUCAGGCUGGAUAUUACAAAAAAUUUCUUCUCUGAAAGAGUGGUCAGGUGCUGGAACAGACUGCACAGAGAGAUGGUUGUUACCAUGCCUGGAGGUGUUCUGAAACCAUUCAAAUGUACUGAAGGGCAUGGUUUAGUGGGAAAAUAUUGGUGGCAGUUGGACAUUUGGACUGAAUGAUCUUGGAGAUCUUUUCCUAUCUUGGUGAUUCUGUGAUUCAGUGAUUCAAUUCUUCUUUUUUUCUGUCUAUAGACCAAUGAUAUUUUUGUACAGGACAUUAACAAAUAUUUAAUCAAAACAGCAAUACUGUCAGUUAGAAAAAAAUGCCCUCGAGGAAAACUAUUUUAACAUUGCCACAUGUAGCACAUGGACUUGUGAGCAGAGAAGCUGUACCACUCUGGUUGCAACAAUGAAACUUUUUCUCUCUCUUUUUUUUUUUGGCACUGAAUCUUCAAGUUUUCGGGUGUUGUGUUUGGAAUUAGUUCACCCACAUGGCUGGCUUCAUUUGCAUUCCUUUUCCUUUUUGUGCCCAUGAAUUCACUGCAAAAAGCUGGCUCUUUCCUUCGUCUGAACAUGUAUUCCCACUUUUAUUUCCUCAGAUAGCCUUGCUGUUUCCAGCAGCCUGCAGGUUGCACAUCGCUGUUGUGGAGACGUGAGGUAGAAAAUACUUUCAUGCGAUUCAAAGAAAGACCAAAGUUAGCGCAAAGUGUGCACAUGCAGUCGCCUACAGACAAGGCAGGGGUCCAAGUUGCCAAUGGAGGCAGUGAGAAUCUAGAGCAGAAAUUAGGUAGCAUCUAGUGACACCUGAGGUGCCGUACAGUGUCCUACUGUUGCCUUGGAAAUGCACAGAUCUGUGAGGCCUCUGUCAUGUCUGGGUGCAGGUAUCUCUUCCAGGGCAAAAUGAAUCGCAACCCCCAACUCCAAAAGGCUGAGUUGGGCAGAUCUCUCCCGGCAGUGAUGGGAGCUGACAGGCCCAGCACACACACAGAAACUUCCCAGUAUACAUUGAAAUUUUGGUGUUUUCAUCUGCAGUCAGACCUCAUCCCCUCUGUCUGUACUCCAAGCUCCCCUUGAUAAUUUCUCCUGUGCUCCCAGUCUUGGUCUCAUCAGGCAGAGGAUAUAAUGCAACCUUGACCAUUUGGGAUUUCAAUUCAUUUUGCAUCUGCUGGCAAGGAGCAGUGGAGCUCUAUUCACCCUUCUUUUUAAGCAAGAGAUUACAUGAAAUAAUCUUCUUUUGGCCUUAGAAAACAAUGUGCUUAUGCACUGGGCACCAAAAAGCUUUGGAUCAUUGAAACUUCUGUACCCUACAAGGCCAAGUACUGCAUUUUUGGCAAGAAAAUGAGCUUCAUAUAAAACAUAAUGUAGCAGUUAUUUUGGCAAGAAUUAGAAGUGGCAAGCUGCUUUAGAGCCAGUGAGAGGUCUUAUAACUAUGGAGGCUUUUGAUAUGACUAGUUAAGAUGCUCACUUGUCAAUCAGUGCACAUAGAGCGGUAGAUUGGUAAAAAAGGAUUGUGAAAUUGUGGGUUACCAGGAAAGAUAAAAAGACUGACCUGAGGAACUGUGUGCUUAACACACUUGAUGAGCAGUAAAAACAAAGUAUGUAUGAAGUUGAUAAAAAGCCAGAAAAUGAUUGGAAAAUGUUCAGUAUAAAGUAACUGGGCAAAGUUAAGGCACAGAGACAAUUCAUCAGUGUAAGGCAAUCACACUCCUGUGCUGAGGAAGACAAUACUUGUCAGCUAGGAAUUACAUCCAGACUUGAGCUGUCAGUGUUCAGGGAGCUUUCCUUACAAGUGCCAUGGGGGUGACGGUGCAGAGCAUGUCUGCUCUGUGACAGUCCAACAUCAGGGCAGGGCUGGGCAGCCCAGCUCUGCCUCCUGUGCCCAGGGGUCUGUGUGGGACAUGAAAUCUUGUCUGCUUCCAGCUGCUGCCUUGGGGAGGAGGCAAGAUUCACUUAUGAGAAAAGUAUGCCUUUCAGCUCAGAUGACAGCAGCCGGUAGUUUUCAUGCUGAUGAUAGUAGUUCUGUCCCUAAUGGGGCACAUAUAUAAGUAGAAGCAUAAUGCAUUUAACCUGUCACUUCCUUAGCUUGCCUAGCUUUUUUCCUGUCAUUUCAAUGCCAAAGCGUUGAUCUCAGAGUACCACAUUUGCAGAGUGCUCUUGCAGAUAUACAGAAUUGAUGAGAAAUACAGUGAAAACAUAGGGAGCAAAUCAAGAGGGCAAAUCAGCCUUCAUUCUGGUUAUGUUCUAGCCAGGCUGUUGUUUCACAUUCUAUGGUUAGGCUUGCUAUGGCUUUUAUUUAGCUGCUUGAGAAAUGCACAUUCUAACCAAUGUGCUUCUGAUGAAGUCAAACCAAACCAUUAAAUCUAAAGGAAGUGAUUCACAAUAAAGUAGUACAAUAGUGUGGAAGAAGGAAACAGAGAUGGAAUCAAGAAAAUCCUUCUCAUAAAAUAACUUGCACAACAGCAAUGUUUGUUUUAGUAACUCUGAAAGGCAGAUUAUGAGUCAAAUUUUAUGUCAACCUUCAGAAAUGGCUCUACAUUUUGUUUAUCAGGAGACUGAUUCAAAGACAGUUGAAGACAGUACCAGAUCUACCGCUGAUUUAUGUGCCUUUGAAUCAAGUACCAAUCAUUUUAUGAGUGUGUAAUAUAUAAAAAUUAAACACAACCAGCUGAUACACAACUUCUUAAAACUUUAUGUGAAAACAGUUCCCAUUAGAAGAUACCCUACAGGCUGUUUCUUCAAUAUAUAAAUAGCUGUAAAUAUAUAAAUAUAUAAAUAUCUUCAAUAUAUAAAUAAAUAAAUA